rnacentral:rRNA from 1 species
UUAAGUUAUUAAGGGCGCACGGUGGAUGCCUUGGCACUAGAAGCCGAUGAAGGACGUUACUAACGACGAUAUGCUUUGGGGAGCUGUAAGUAAGCUUUGAUCCAGAGAUUUCCGAAUGGGGAAACCCAACAUGAGUUAUGUCAUGUUAUCGAUAUGUGAAUACAUAGCAUAUCAGAAGGCACACCCGGAGAACUGAAACAUCUUAGUACCCGGAGGAAGAGAAAGAAAAUUCGAUUCCCUUAGUAGCGGCGAGCGAAACGGGAAGAGCCCAAACCAACAAGCUUGCUUGUUGGGGUUGUAGGACACUCUAUACGGAGUUACAAAGGACGACAUUAGACGAAUCAUCUGGAAAGAUGAAUCAAAGAAGGUAAUAAUCCUGUAGUCGAAAAUGUUGUCUCUCUUGAGUGGAUCCUGAGUACGACGGAGCACGUGAAAUUCCGUCGGAAUCUGGGAGGACCAUCUCCUAAGGCUAAAUACUCUCUAGUGACCGAUAGUGAACCAGUACCGUGAGGGAAAGGUGAAAAGCACCCCGGAAGGGGAGUGAAAUAGAACCUGAAACCGUGUGCUUACAAGUAGUCAGAGCCCGUUAAUGGGUGAUGGCGUGCCUUUUGUAGAAUGAACCGGCGAGUUACGAUUUGAUGCAAGGUUAAGCAGUAAAUGUGGAGCCGUAGCGAAAGCGAGUCUGAAUAGGGCGUUUAGUAUUUGGUCGUAGACCCGAAACCAGGUGAUCUACCCUUGGUCAGGUUGAAGUUCAGGUAACACUGAAUGGAGGACCGAACCGACUUACGUUGAAAAGUGAGCGGAUGAACUGAGGGUAGCGGAGAAAUUCCAAUCGAACCUGGAGAUAGCUGGUUCUCUCCGAAAUAGCUUUAGGGCUAGCCUCAAGUGAUGAUUAUUGGAGGUAGAGCACUGUUUGGACGAGGGGCCCCUCUCGGGUUACCGAAUUCAGACAAACUCCGAAUGCCAAUUAAUUUAACUUGGGAGUCAGAACAUGGGUGAUAAGGUCCGUGUUCGAAAGGGAAACAGCCCAGACCACCAGCUAAGGUCCCAAAAUAUAUGUUAAGUGGAAAAGGAUGUGGCGUUGCCCAGACAACUAGGAUGUUGGCUUAGAAGCAGCCAUCAUUUAAAGAGUGCGUAAUAGCUCACUAGUCGAGUGACACUGCGCCGAAAAUGUACCGGGGCUAAACAUAUUACCGAAGCUGUGGAUUGUCCUUUGGACAAUGGUAGGAGAGCGUUCUAAGGGCGUUGAAGCAUGAUCGUAAGGACAUGUGGAGCGCUUAGAAGUGAGAAUGCCGGUGUGAGUAGCGAAAGACGGGUGAGAAUCCCGUCCACCGAUUGACUAAGGUUUCCAGAGGAAGGCUCGUCCGCUCUGGGUUAGUCGGGUCCUAAGCUGAGGCCGACAGGCGUAGGCGAUGGAUAACAGGUUGAUAUUCCUGUACCACCUAUAAUCGUUUUAAUCGAUGGGGGGACGCAGUAGGAUAGGCGAAGCGUGCGAUUGGAUUGCACGUCUAAGCAGUAAGGCUGAGUAUUAGGCAAAUCCGGUACUCGUUAAGGCUGAGCUGUGAUGGGGAGAAGACAUUGUGUCUUCGAGUCGUUGAUUUCACACUGCCGAGAAAAGCCUCUAGAUAGAAAAUAGGUGCCCGUACCGCAAACCGACACAGGUAGUCAAGAUGAGAAUUCUAAGGUGAGCGAGCGAACUCUCGUUAAGGAACUCGGCAAAAUGACCCCGUAACUUCGGGAGAAGGGGUGCUCUUUAGGGUUAACGCCCAGAAGAGCCGCAGUGAAUAGGCCCAAGCGACUGUUUAUCAAAAACACAGGUCUCUGCUAAACCGUAAGGUGAUGUAUAGGGGCUGACGCCUGCCCGGUGCUGGAAGGUUAAGAGGAGUGGUUAGCUUCUGCGAAGCUACGAAUCGAAGCCCCAGUAAACGGCGGCCGUAACUAUAACGGUCCUAAGGUAGCGAAAUUCCUUGUCGGGUAAGUUCCGACCCGCACGAAAGGCGUAACGAUUUGGGCACUGUCUCAACGAGAGACUCGGUGAAAUCAUAGUACCUGUGAAGAUGCAGGUUACCCGCGACAGGACGGAAAGACCCCGUGGAGCUUUACUGUAGCCUGAUAUUGAAAUUCGGCACAGCUUGUACAGGAUAGGUAGGAGCCUUUGAAACGUGAGCGCUAGCUUACGUGGAGGCGCUGGUGGGAUACUACCCUAGCUGUGUUGGCUUUCUAACCCGCACCACUUAUCGUGGUGGGAGACAGUGUCAGGCGGGCAGUUUGACUGGGGCGGUCGCCUCCUAAAAGGUAACGGAGGCGCUCAAAGGUUCCCUCAGAAUGGUUGGAAAUCAUUCAUAGAGUGUAAAGGCAUAAGGGAGCUUGACUGCGAGACCUACAAGUCGAGCAGGGUCGAAAGACGGACUUAGUGAUCCGGUGGUUCCGCAUGGAAGGGCCAUCGCUCAACGGAUAAAAGCUACCCCGGGGAUAACAGGCUUAUCUCCCCCAAGAGUUCACAUCGACGGGGAGGUUUGGCACCUCGAUGUCGGCUCAUCGCAUCCUGGGGCUGUAGUCGGUCCCAAGGGUUGGGCUGUUCGCCCAUUAAAGCGGUACGCGAGCUGGGUUCAGAACGUCGUGAGACAGUUCGGUCCCUAUCCGUCGUGGGCGUAGGAAAUUUGAGAGGAGCUGUCCUUAGUACGAGAGGACCGGGAUGGACAUACCUCUGGUGUACCAGUUGUCGUGCCAACGGCAUAGCUGGGUAGCUAUGUGUGGACGGGAUAAGUGCUGAAAGCAUCUAAGCAUGAAGCCCCCCUCAAGAUGAGAUUUCCUAACUUCGGUUAUAAGAUCCCUCAAAGAUGAUGAGGUUAAUAGGUUCGAGGUGGAAGCAUGGUGACAUGUGGAGCUGACGAAUACUAAUCGAUCAAAGACUUAAUCAA